ACGUUUUUUUCAUAGAGAUUUAGAUUUAAGGUUAGAAGAAUUGUGGAAGUCGUGAGACUUCCCUUUUUUUUGCCUUAAGCCUCCUCUUUCUUUCAUAGAUUGAAGGGGGCUCAAAAAGUCCUUUCGUGAGAAAGGGCUUUUUU
rnacentral:sRNA from 2 species